rnacentral:rRNA from 1 species
CCAUGCCGCGUGGGUGAAGAAGGCCCUAGGGUUGUAAACCCCUUUCAGCGGGGAAGAUAAUGACGGUACCCGCAGAAGAAGCCCCGGCUAACUCCGUGC